UACGUAGGGCGCAAGCGUUAUCCGGAAUUAUUGGGCGUAAAGGGCUCGUAGGCGGUUUGUCGCGUCGGGAGUGAAAUCCACUGGCUUAACUGGUGGCUUGCUUUCGAUACGGGCAGACUGGAGGUAUGCAGGGGAGAACGGAAUUCCUGGUGUAGCGGUGAAAUGCGCAGAUAUCAGGAGGAACACCGGUGGCGAAGGCGGCAUCCUGGACCAACACUGACACUGAGGAGCGAAAGCCAGGGGAGCAAACGGG
rnacentral:rRNA from 1 species